GUGCCAGCCGCCGCGGUAAUACGUAGGUGGCAAGCGUUGUCCGGAUUUAUUGGGCGUAAAGCGAGCGCAGGCGGUUUCUUAAGUCUGAUGUGAAAGCCUUCGGCUCAACCGAAGAAGUGCAUCGGAAACUGGGAAGCUUGAGUGCAGAAGAGGACAGUGGAACUCCAUGUGUAGCGGUGAAAUGCGUAGAUAUAUGGAAGAACACCAGUGGCGAAGGCGGCUGUCUGGUCUGUAACUGACGCUGAGGCUCGAAAGCAUGGGUAGCAAACAGGAUUAGAUACCCUGGUAGUCCAUGCCGUAAACGAUGAGUGCUAGGUGUUGGAGGGUUUCCGCCCUUCAGUGCCGCAGCUAACGCAUUAAGCACUCCGCCUGGGGAGUACGACCGCAAGGUUGAAACUCAAAGGAAUUGACGGGGGCCCGCACAAGCGGUGGAGCAUGUGGUUUAAUUCGAAGCAACGCGAAGAACCUUACCAGGUCUUGACAUCCUUUGACCACUCUAGAGAUAGAGCUUUCCCUUCGGGGACAAAGUGACAGGUGGUGCAUGGUUGUCGUCAGCUCGUGUCGUGAGAUGUUGGGUUAAGUCCCGCAACGAGCGCAACCCUUAUUACUAGUUGCCAGCAUUAGGUUGGGCACUCUAGUGAGACUGCCGGUGACAAACCGGAGGAAGGUGGGGACGACGUCAAAUCAUCAUGCCCCUUAUGACCUGGGCUACACACGUGCUACAAUGGAUGGUACAACGAGUUGCGAGACCCGCGAGGUUUAGCUAAUCUCUUAAAACCAUUCUCAGUUCGGAUUGUAGGCUGCAACUCGCCUACAUGAAGCCGGAAUCGCUAGUAAUCGCGGAUCAGCAUGCCGCGGUGAAUACGUUCCCGGGCCUUGCACACACCGCCCGU
rnacentral:rRNA from 1 species